UACGGGGGGGGCAAGCGUUGUUCGGAAUUACUGGGCGUAAAGGGCUCGUAGGCGGCCAACUAAGUCAGACGUGAAAUCCCUCGGCUUAACCGGGGAACUGCGUCUGAUACUGGAUGGCUUGAGUGUAGGAGAGGGAUGCGGAAUUCCAGGUGUAGCGGUGAAAUGCGUAGAUAUCUGGAGGAACACCGGUGGCGAAGGCGGCAUCCUGGACUACUACUGACGCUGAGUGAGCGAAAGCCAGGGGAGCAAACGGG
rnacentral:rRNA from 1 species